CGGCGGACGGGUGAGUAACGCGUGGGUAACCUGCCUCAUACAGGGGGAUAACAGUUAGAAAUGACUGCUAAUACCGCAUAAGCGCACAGUACCACAUGGUACGGUGUGAAAAACUCCGGUGGUAUGAGAUGGACCCGCGUCUGAUUAGCUAGUUGGUGGGGUAACGGCCCACCAAGGCGACGAUCAGUAGCCGACCUGAGAGGGUGACCGGCCACAUUGGGACUGAGACACGGCCCAA
rnacentral:rRNA from 1 species